GACAGAGGUCCCGAGCGUUAGGCGGAAUCACUGGGCUUAAAGCGUGUGUAGGCGGAUCGUUAAGUACCUUGUGAAAUCCCACGGCUUAACCGUGGAACUGCUUGGUAUACUGGCGAUCUUGAGCCACUUAGGGGCUACCGGAACAAAUGGUGGAGCGGUGAAAUGCGUAGAGAUCGGGCGGAACACCAGCGGCGAAGGCGGCAUCCUGGCCCUGACCUGACGCUGAGGCGCGAGAGCGUGGGGAGCAAACUGG
rnacentral:rRNA from 1 species